UGGGGAAUAUUGGACAAUGGGCGCAAGCCUGAUCCAGCCAUGCCGCGUGAGUGAUGAAGGCCCUAGGGUUGUAAAGCUCUUUCACCGGUGAAGAUAAUGACGGUAACCGGAGAAGAAGCCCCGGCUAACUUCGUGCCAGCAGCCGCGGUAAUACGAAGGGGGCUAGCGUUGUUCGGAUUUACUGGGCGUAAAGCGCACGUAGGCGGACUUUUAAGUCAGGGGUGAAAUCCCGGGGCUCAACCCCGGAACUGCCUUUGAUACUGGAAGUCUUGAGUAUGGUAGAGGUGAGUGGAAUUCCGAGUGUAGCGGUGAAAUGCGCAGAGAUAUGGAGGAACACCAGUGGCGAAGGCGACUUUCUGGUCUGUAACUGACGCUGAUGUGCGAAAGCGUGGGGAUCAAACAGG
rnacentral:rRNA from 1 species